UAUAACAUCUCCUAGUUCGUUUUUCAGACCGAAACUUCCUUUACCAAUAAGUGAAACUAAAGAAGACUGUGAAACUCUGCUUAAUUCCUGGAUAGCAAGUAAAAAGGCGGUUGCCUUUAGAUGGAAUUCUACCUCCAAGACGGAGUGGAACCUUUUUAGUUAUUCGAAGGAUUUCACUGAUGGUGAUGGAAGCACAUUUUUAAGUCUGGUGUUGUAAACUGCUUUUCUGAGAGUUCGAAAGAAAUUUCAGCUGAAAGGAACAAGCUUCUACUAGAACUUCAUGGCAAAGAGUUGUUGAAGACAACUGUAGGAAAAAGAACAAACAGUUAUCCAACAUCAAAGUGUCCCACACCAGGAAUAAUGAAAAGUCCAAGAAAGUCUGUUAACGUUCCUUCUGUUCAACAAUCAAAAGAGGUUUCUGCAGUCAAACAGAAAACAGUGCCUGUCAAGUCAAAAUCAACUUCUCUGGCUAAACCAAAGGCAGC
rnacentral:lncRNA from 1 species